rnacentral:rRNA from 1 species
AUUGAACGCUGGCGGCAGGCCUAACACAUGCAAGUCGAACGAGUGGCGGACGGGUGAGUAAUGUCUGGGAAACUGCCUGAUGGAGGGGGAUAACUACUGGAAACGGUAGCUAAUACCGCAUACCAUCAUAUGUCCCCAGAUGGGAUUAGCUAGUUGGUGGGGUAACGGCUAACCAAGGCGACGAUCCCUAGCUGGUCUGAGGGGAUGACCAGCAACACGGGAACUGAGACACGGUCCAGACUCCUAGGGGAGGCAGCAGUGGGGAAUAUUGCACAAGGGGCGCAAGCCUAAUGCAGCCAUGCCGCGUGUAUGAAGAAGGCCUUCGGUUUGUAAAGUACUUUAAGCGGGGAGGCGUUACCCGCGGAAGAACACCGGCUAACACCGUGCCAGCAGCCGCGGUAAUUC